GACAGAGGGGGCAAGCGUUGCUCGGAAUUACUGGGCGUAAAGCGCACGUAGGCGGACUAUUAAGUCAGGGGUGAAAUCCCGGGGCUCAACCCCGGAACUGCCUUUGAUACUGGUAGUCUCGAGUCCGGAAGAGGUGAGUGGAAUUCCGAGUGUAGAGGUGAAAUUCGUAGAUAUUCGGAGGAACACCAGUGGCGAAGGCGGCUCACUGGUCCGGUACUGACGCUGAGGUGCGAAAGCGUGGGGAGCAAACAGG
rnacentral:rRNA from 1 species